rnacentral:rRNA from 1 species
UACGAAGGGGGCUAGCGUUGCUCGGAAUCACUGGGCGUAAAGGGUGCGUAGGCGGUUCCGCAAGUCCUGUGUGAAAUCUUCGGGCUCAACUCGAAGUCUGCACGGGAAACUGCGGGGCUUUGAGUGUGGGAGAGGUGAGUGGAAUUGCGAGUGUAGAGGUGAAAUUCGUAGAUAUUCGCAGGAACACCAGUGGCGAAGGCGGCUUACUGGUCCAUAACUGACGCUGAGGUGCGAAAGCGUGGGUAGCAAACAGG